rnacentral:rRNA from 1 species
UGGCGCACGGGUGCGUAACGCGUAUGCAACCUACCUUAAUCAGGGGGAUAGCCUCUCGAAAGAGAGAUUAACACCGCAUAAAAUCACAGUCCGGCAUCGGACAAUGAUCAAAUAUUUAUAGGAUUAAGAUGGGCAUGCGUGACAUUAGCUAGUUGGUAAGGUAACGGCUUACCAAGGCUACGAUGUCUAGGGGAUCUGAGAGGAUGACCCCCCACACUGGUACUGAGACACGGACCAGACUCCUACAGGAGGCAGCAGUAAGGAAUAUUGGUCAAUGGGGGCAACCCUGAACCAGCCAUGCCGCGUGCAGGAAGACGGCCCUACGGGUUGUAAACUGCUUUUAUACGGGAAUAAACCCCUUUACGUGUAAAGGGUUGAAUGUACUGUAAGAAUAAGGAUCGGCUAACUCCGUGCCAGCAGCCGCGGUAAUACGGAGGAUCCAAGCGUUAUCCGGAUUUAUUGGGUUUAAAGGGUGCGUAGGCGGCCUAUUAAGUCAGGGGUGAAAGACGGUGGCUCAACCAUCGCAGUGCCCUUGAUAC